CGCGGUAUUUUGACUGUGCGAAGGUAGCAUAAUCAUUUGUCUUUUAAUUGAAGACUUGUAUGAAUGGCUGAACGAGAAAAUAACUGUCUCUUUAAAAAAUCUUGAAUUUUACUUUUAAGUGAAAAGGCUUAAAUAAAUUUAAAGGACGAUAAGACCCUAUAAAUCUUUAUACUAUUUUCUUUAUCUUUCAAAUUAUAUAUAUUAAAAGAAGAAAAAGAAAAAGUAUUAUAUUGGGGAGAUAAAAAUAUAAUUUUUUUUAACUGUUUUAAAUACAAAACAAUAAUUUUUGCUUUAUUAAAAAUUGAUCCUUUUUAAAGAUUUUAAGAUUAAGUUACUUUAGGGAUAACAGCGUAAUUUUUUUUGAGAGUUCUUAUCGAAAAAAAAGUUUGCGACCUCGAUGUUGAAUUAAAAUUAUCCUUAUAAGUGCAGAAGCUAUAAAAGGAAAGUCUGUUCGACUUUUAAAAUUUUACAU
rnacentral:rRNA from 1 species